rnacentral:tRNA from 1 species
GCGGAAGUAGCUCAGUUGAUAGAGCAUUAGCGUUCCAAGCUGAGGGUCGCGGGUUUGAGCCCCGUCUUCCGCUCCA